AGAACGAACGCUGGCGGCAGGCUUAACACAUGCAAGUCGAGCGCCCCGCAAGGGGAGCGGCAGACGGGUGAGUAACGCGUGGGAACAUACCCUCCGGUUCGGAAUAGCUCAGGGAAACUUGGAUUAAUACCGGAUACGGCCUAGCGGCGAAAGAUUGAUCGCCGGAGGAUUGGCCCGCGUCUGAUUAGCUAGUUGGUGGGGUAAUGGCCCACCAAGGCGACGAUCAGUAGCUGGUCUGAGAGGAUGAUCAGCCACAUUGGGACUGAGACACGGCCCAAACUCCUACGGGAGGCAGCAGUGGGGAAUAUUGGACAAUGGGCGCAAGCCUGAUCCAGCCAUGCCGCGUGAGUGAUGACGGCCUUAGGGUUGUAAAGCUCUUUCGCUAGGGACGAUAAUGACGGUACCUAGACAAGAAGCCCCGGCUAACUUCGUGCCAGCAGCCGC
rnacentral:rRNA from 1 species